AGGGGUGUAGCUCAGUGGUAGAGCAUUUGCUUAUCACACAAGAGAUCUGGGUUCAAACCCCAGCACCUCCA